rnacentral:rRNA from 1 species
ACCCGCUGAACUUAAGCAUAUCAAUAAGCAACAACAGGGAUUGCCCUAGUAACGGCGAGUGAAGCGGCAACAGCUCAAAUUUGAAAUCUGGCUCUCUUUGGGGGUCCGAGUUGUAAUUUGCAGAGGAUGCUUUGGCAUUGGCGGCGGUCUAAGUUCCUUGGAACAGGACAUCACAGAGGGUGAGAAUCCCGUACGUGGUCGCCUGCCUUUGCCGUGUAAAGCUCCUUCGACGAGUCGAGUUGUUUGGGAAUGCAGCUCUAAAUGGGAGGUAAAUUUCUUCUAAAGCUAAAUACUGGCCAGAGACCGAUAGCGCACAAGUAGAGUGAUCGAAAGAUGAAAAGUACUUUGGAAAGAGAGUCAAAAAGCACGUGAAAUUGUUGAAAGGGAAGCGCUUGCAGCCAGACUUGCCCGCAGUUGCUCACCUAGGCUUUGGCCUGGGGCACUCUUCUGCGGGCAGGCCAGCAUCAGUUUGGGCGGUUGGAUAAAGGCCUCUGUCACGUAUCUCCCUUCGGGGUGACCUUAUAGGGGAGGCGCAAUGCAACCAGCCCGGACUGAGGUCCGCGCAUCUGCUAGGAUGCUGCGAAUCUUAAGCGGCCCGUCUUGAACCACGGACC